UACGUACUGUGCGAACGUUAUUCGGAAUCACUGGGCUUAAAGGGUGCGUAGGCGGCCAAUUAAGUAGGGUGUGAAAUGCCAGAGCUCAACUUUGGCAUUGCGCUCUAGACUGGUUGGCUUGAGUGAGAUAGGGGUGUGCGGAACUUCCAGUGGAGCGGUGAAAUGUGUUGAUAUUGGAAGGAACGCCGGUGGCGAAAGCGGCACACUGGGUCUUAACUGACGCUGAUGCACGAAAGCCAGGGGAGCGAACGGG
rnacentral:rRNA from 1 species